rnacentral:rRNA from 1 species
GAUGAACGCUGGCGGCGUGCUUAACACAUGCAAGUCGAGCGAAGCACUUAUCAUUGACUCUUCGGAGGAUAUGAUAUUUGACUGAGCGGCGGACGGGUGAGUAACGCGUGGGUAACCUGCCUCAUACAGGGGAAUAACAGUUAGAAAUGGCUGCUAAUGCCGCAUAAGCGCACAGGACCGCAUGGUCUGGUGUGAAAAACUGAGGUGGUAUGAGAUGGACCCGCGUCUGAUUAGGUAGUUGGUGGGGUAACGGCCUACCAAGCCGACGAUCAGUAGCCGGCCUGAGAGGGUGAACGGCCACAUUGGGACUGAGACACGGCCCAGACUCCUACGGGAGGCAGCAGUGGGGAAUAUUGCACAAUGGGGGAAACCCUGAUGCAGCGACGCCGCGUGAAGGAAGAAGUAUCUCGGUAUGUAAACUUCUAUCAGCAGGGAAGAAAAUG